GUCGAACGAGGUGCUUUUGUAGCAAUACGAGAGUAUCCUAGUGGCGAACGGGUGAGUAACGCGUUGGUGACCUACCCCAAAGUGUGGGAUAACAGUCCGAAAGGAUUGCUAAUACCGCAUGUGGUUAUUGGAUCUAGAAACCGAUAACUAAAGGAGCAAUUCGCUUUGGGAGGGACCUGCGUCCCAUCAGCUAGUUGGUGAGGUAAUGGCCCACCAAGGCUACGACGGGUAGGGGACCUGAGAGGGUGACCCCCCACAAUGGAACUGAAACACGGUCCAUACACCUACGGGUGGCAGCAGUAGGGAAUAUUGCACAAUGGGCGAAAGCCUGAUGCAGCAACGCCGCGUGUGCGAUGAAGGCCUUCGGGUCGUAAAGCACUUUUCUGAGGGAUGAGCAAGGACAGUACCUCAGGAAUAAGUCUCGGCUAACUACGUGCCAGCAGCCGCGGUAAAACGUAGGAGGCAAGCGUUAUCCGGAUUCACUGGGCGUAAAGCGCGUGCAGGCGGUUCGGUAAGUUGGGCGUGAAAUCUCCUGGCUUAACUAGGAGAGGUCGUUCAAUACUACCGGACUUGAGAGUGAUAGAGGAAGAUGGAAUUCCCGGUGUAGUGGUGAAAUGCGUAGAUAUCGGGAGGAACACCAGUGGCGAAAGCGAUCUUCUGGAUCAUUUCUGACGCUCAGACGCGAAAGCUAGGGUAGUAAACGGGAUUAGAGACCCCGGUAAUCCUAGCCGUAAACGAUGUAAACUUGGCGUCGGUGGCUUAAACUCCAUCGGUGC
rnacentral:rRNA from 1 species